rnacentral:tRNA from 1 species
GGGGAUUUAGCUCAGUGGUAGAGCGCUUGCCUAGCAAGUGAGCAAGUGCAAGGCCCUGGGUUCAGUCCCCA